rnacentral:rRNA from 1 species
CGCAUACGACCAAUAUUCAUAUGUAUAUUGGGGAAAGGUAGCCUCUUCUUGAAAGCUAUCGCUAUUGGAUGGGCCCGCGUUGGAUUAGCUAGUUGGUAGGGUAACGGCCUACCAAGGCUACGAUCCAUAACUGGUUUGAGAGGACGACCAGUCACACUGGAACUGAGACACGGUCCAGACUCCUACGGGAGGCAGCAGUGAGGAAUAUUGCGCAAUGGGGGAAACCCUGACGCAGCGACGCCGCAUGAGUGAUGAAGGCCUUCGGGUUGUAAAGCUCUGUCAGAGGGGAAGAAAGGAGAAGUAGCUAAUAUCUGCUUCUAUUGACGGUACCCUCGGAGGAAGCACCGGCUAACUCCGUGCCAGCAGCCGCGGUAAUACGGAGGGUGCAAGUGUUAUUCGGUUUACUGGGCGUAAAGAGCACGUA